rnacentral:rRNA from 1 species
GACGAACCGUACGAACGUUAUUCGGAAUCACUGGGCUUAAAGGGUGCGUAGGCGGCGCGACAAGUUGGGUGUGAAAUCCCUCGGCUCAACCGAGGAACUGCGCCCAAAACUGUCGUGCUCGAGGGAGACAGAGGUGAGCGGAACUUAGGGUGGAGCGGUGAAAUGCGUUGAUAUCCUAAGGAACACCGGUGGCGAAAGCGGCUCACUGGGUCUCUUCUGACGCUGAGGCACGAAAGUGCGGGGAUCAAACAGG